UACAGAGGGUGCAAGCGUUGUUCGGAUUUACUGGGCGUAAAGGGCGCGCAGGCGGCUUUGUUUGUCAGGCGUGAAAGCCCCGGGCUUAACCUGGGAACUGCGUUUGAUACGGCAGGGCUAGAGUUCGGGAGAGGAGAGUGGAAUUCCCAGUGUAGAGGUGAAAUUCGUAGAUAUUGGGAAGAACACCGGUGGCGAAGGCGGCUCUCUGGACCGAUACUGACGCUGAGGCGCGAAAGCGUGGGGAGCAAACAGG
rnacentral:rRNA from 1 species